CCUACGGGAGGCAGCAGUGGGGAAUAUUGCACAAUGGGGGAAACCCUGAUGCAGCAACGCCGCGUGAGUGAAGAAGUAUUUCGGUAUGUAAAGCUCUAUCAGCAGGGAAGAAAAUGACAGUACCUGACUAAGAAGCCCCGGCUAACUACGUGCCAGCAGCCGCGGGAAUACGUAGGGGGCAAGCGUUAUCCGGAUUUACUGGGUGUAAAGGGAGCGUAGCCGGCUGCGCAAGUCAGAAGUGAAAGCCCGGGGCUCAACCGCGGGACUGCUUUUGAAACUGUGUAGCUAGAGUCCAGGAGAGGUAAGUGGAAUUCCUAGUGUAGCGGUGAAAUGCGUAGAUAUUAGGAGGAACACCGGUGGCGAAGGCGGCUUACUGGACUGUAACUGACGUUGAGGCUCGAAAGCGUGGGGAGCAAACAGGAUUAGAUACCCGUGUAGUC
rnacentral:rRNA from 1 species